GCCUCUGUAGCUCAGUUGCUUGGAGUGCUGCACUGGGAUCGCAUGGCCAUGCACAGCCAGCACAGGUUCGAUUCCUGAUUAGGUUCG